rnacentral:rRNA from 1 species
UAGGGAAUCUUCGGCAAUGGACGAAAGUCUGACCGAGCAACGCCGCGUGAGUGAAGAAGGUUUUCAGAUCGUAAAACUCUGUUGUUAGAGAAGAACAAGGACGUUAGUAACUGAACGUCCCCUGACGGUAUCUAACCAGAAAGCCACGGCUAACUACGUGCCAGCAGCCGCGGUAAUACGUAGGUGGCAAGCGUUGUCCGGAUUUAUUGGGCGUAAAGCGAGCGCAGGCGGUUUCUUAAGUCUGAUGUGAAAGCCCCCGGCUCAACCGGGGAGGGUCAUUGGAAACUGGGAGACUUGAGUGCAGAAGAGGAGAGUGGAAUUCCAUGUGUAGCGGUGAAAUGCGUAGAUAUAUGGAGGAACACCAGUGGCGAAGGCGGCUCUCUGGUCUGUAACUGACGCUGAGGCUCGAAAGCGUGGGGAGCAAACAGG